GAUGAACGCUGGCGGCGUGCCUAAUACAUGCAAGUCGAGCGAACAGACGAGGAGCUUGCUCCUCUGACGUUAGCGGCGGACGGGUGAGUAACACGUGGAUAACCUACCUAUAAGACUGGGAUAACUUCGGGAAACCGGAGCUAAUACCGGAUAAUAUAUUGAACCGCAUGGUUCAAUAGUGAAAGACGGUUUUGCUGUCACUUAUAGAUGGAUCCGCGCCGCAUUAGCUAGUUGGUAAGGUAACGGCUUACCAAGGCAACGAUGCGUAGCCGACCGGAGAGGGUGAUCGGCCACACUGGAGCUGAGACACGGUCCAGACUCCUACGGGAGGCAGCAGUAGGGAAUCUUCCGCAAUGGGCGAAAACCUGACGGAGCAACGCCGCGUGAGUGAUGAAGGUCUUCGGAUCGUAAAACUCGGUUAUUAGGGAAGAACAAAUGUGUAAGUAACUAUGCACGUCUUGACGGUACCUAAUCAGAAAGCCACGGCUAACUACGUG
rnacentral:rRNA from 1 species